rnacentral:rRNA from 1 species
GGGGAAUAUUGGGCAAUGGAGGAAACUCUGACCCAGCAACGCCGCGUGGAGGAAGAAGGUUUUCGGAUCGUAAACUCCUGUCCUUGGAGACGAGUAGAAGACGGUAUCCAAGGAGGAAGCCCCGGCUAACUACGUGCCAGCAGCCGCGGUAAUACGUAGGGGGCAAGCGUUGUCCGGAAUAAUUGGGCGUAAAGGGCGCGUAGGCGGCUCGGUAAGUCUGGAGUGAAAGUCCUGCUUUUAAGGUGGGAAUUGCUUUGGAUACUGUCGGGCUUGAGUGCAGGAGAGGUUAGUGGAAUUCCCAGUGUAGCGGUGAAAUGCGUAGAGAUUGGGAGGAACACCAGUGGCGAAGGCGACUAACUGGACUGUAACUGACGCUGAGGCGCGAAAGUGUGGGGAGCAAACAGGAUUAGAUACCCUGGUAGUCCACACUGUAAACGAUGAAUGCUAGGUGUAGGGGGUAUCGACCCCUUCUGUGCCGCAGUCAACACAAUAAGCAUUCCGCCUGGGGAGUACGGCCGCAAGGUUGAAACUCAAAGGAAUUGACGGGGGCCCGCACAAGCAGCGGAGCAUAUGGUUUAAUUCGACGCAACGCGAAGAACCUUACCAGGUCUUGACAUCCACUUAAACUUACAGAGAUGUAAGGUGUGCUUGCACAAAGUGAGACAGGUGGUGCAUGGUUGUCGUCAGCUCGUGUCGUGAGAUGUUGGGUUAAGUCCCGCAACGAGCGCAACCCUUAUCUUCAGUUACUAACGCGUAAAGGUGAGGACUCUGAAGAGACUGCCGGGGACAACUCGGAGGAAGGUGGGGACGACGUCAAAUCAUCAUGCCCCUUAUGACCUGGGCUACACACGUGCUACAAUGGCCACGACAGAGAGAAGCGAAAUCGUAAGGUAGAGCGGAACUCAAAAAAGUGGUCCCAGUUCGGAUUGUGGGCUGCAACCCGCCCACAUGAAGUCGGAGUUGCUAGUAAUCGCGGAUCAGCAUGCCGCGGUGAAUACGUUCCCG